GAUCCCCUGAGCAAUCGAAAGCACUUUAUAGAUUUCUUUGUGGGAAUCACAGCCAGUGCAAGAAGCACCUGGGACUAGGCAACCAGAUUGGCCAGAGGAAUCCAGGAG
rnacentral:lncRNA from 1 species